rnacentral:lncRNA from 1 species
AAAGACUUCAGCAGGUAAAUACAAAGUAAUUUUCCUAGCUGGUAAAAUUCAUCCCCUAGGAAGAUUAACUAGUGUAAAUGUCAAUAUUGCAUGGUUCAUUUAUUGAAAGCCAAACUAUUUGAGUGACUUUGGAUGUGUUAUUACAGUUAAUGAUUCUUAUUAAAAACAACAAAAGAAUGCAUCAAUCAGGAGGUAUAAGGAAAGGAAAAAUAACUUUGAAACAUUGGUUUUCUUCAUAAAUUCAGAUUUGUUGAAAUCUGAGGAGUCUUAUGCUAACAUCAUCUUGGUUAUCUAUUUCUUUGUAACACACUACCCUAAAAGCACCUGGUUUAACCAUUUCAUUUCACUAAUAACGUUAUGUGUCAUAAACUUGCAAUGAACUUGGUUCUUAGGCUGGAUGCUUAGCCUCUGAUGAAAGUAGCUUCAGUUGGGGUGUCUAACAGAGGAUCUACUGGCCAGUCUGUCUCCUCCAUGGUCUUGGUCUUUGUAUUUCAUUUUCUGCAAAGCAAAUCAUCCAAUCAUCCGCUUAGGCUCUUCUUGUGGUUUAGGCUUCUCAGAGUUUGGCAACCUCAGGAUAUUUGAACUUCUUACAAGGUGGAUCAUGGUCCCCAGACAUCCAGGUGAAAUCUGCCAAUCCUUUGAAUUCCUAAAUGCAGAGAUGGCAUCAUGUCCCUUCUAUCACAUUCUAUUUGUCAAAGCAGUCCCAAUUUAGCACAGAUUCAAGGGGAGGAGAAAAAAAAUAGACCCCUACCUCUUUGUGACAAUAAAAUCAAGUGAUUUGUGGCUAUCUUUAAUUUUAAUAUGUAUUUGUUAAAAGGACACUCUUGAAAUAUUCUUUUACUUCCUAGUUUUGCUUGCUCUAUUUCAAACCAGUGCUGCAUUAGUUAACAUGUGGCUCACCAUACACUUUCUAAUGAGAAAGCUUCAAAAAGCUCAAUCCCCAAAUGCCAGUACAAACACUAGCCUGGCAAAAAGUCACCUGAAUUCCUCCCUCUAAUAUACAGAACCCAAGCUGCAUGGACUUGUUCUCCGAACACAGAAAACAUUAUAGUAAACAAGGGAUUUGAGUUUAGAUAUUUACCCAGCUUCUCUGCACCCUGAGCUCUUUUUUUUUUUUUUUUUUUUUUUUUUUGCCUCAAUCCUCUGCCAGGAGAUCCGGCUGCUUUUCUCACACUUUGGCUCCUCACCUCCCCUAAGCUAAUAUGCACUCCCUAGCAAAUUAUAAGCAUUCAGAACUGGAGCAGAGACUGUGGCUUGAGGGUAAAAUUAACUCUACCAGCUGAAUAGUUUCCCCUCUUCAUCAAAAUGUGCAGUUGGAGGCUUUAAAAAAUGUCUAUGUGCAUAAACUUUGUUAUUAGUUGAAAGCGGAAAUAAAUGCUAGAUAAAAAGUUUUCACAUAUGAGAGGCCUGAAACAUUCUAUACUUUUAUGCACCACUUAGUGUGUAGUCAUUUCCUGCUUUGUUCUUUUGUUGCACUAUUUAAAAUGCUUUAUCUCUCAUUUUUUAGUUCAUACAUGUUGGAAAUACUUACUGAAGGUUAUUAUGAACUAUGAUGUUCUUUUAUUGUUGAAGUAUUCCCUACUUUAGAGUUAAUGGGUUUCAUUCAAGGUCCAUGAUCCACCUAAGAUUAAUAGUAAGAUGAUAGAGUGUACAAAUGAAUAUCAUAACAUAUCGUCCUUCAGCUGGUUCUUGAAAGCUACAAGAGACAGAAUAUGGUUAUAAAUAUAUACAAAUAUGUAAUCUCCAUUGUUUUUAUAUAUAAUGCUACUGUACAUUACAAUAUCCUGAAGAAAAUGGCAUUCUUCACGAUUUUAUUCACUUGACCAGUGAAUGCUUUUCUAUCCUUUGGCAUUGGAGUGCUGUGCCUUUUAAGGAUGUUGUCAGCCUAUGCUAAUUGAAAUGUUUAUAAAAUGCUGAUUCUGAAAUAUUGCAGCUUAACAGUUCAAUAGUUCUUUAAUGGGCCCUCUGUUUUAUUAAUGAAAUGAUUUAUAGAAAUAUUUAAUCUCACUGAUUUACCAUUAGCAUUAAUGAGUCUAGUUAUUAAGCACUCUAUUUCCAAAGGCUAUGAAAACAGCCCUGGCAAGUGUGUAGUAUUUUGCGAUGAGUUAUUUGUGCUGAGAUAGAAUCAAUGCUGUGGGAAGCUUAUUCCUCAAGUGGAACAGCAUUAUUUAUAAACAUGUAACUUGAUGACUCUUUUUGUAAUUUUCAUACCAUUGCUUUUUUUACAAGAAAUUUAAUAUCAAUUAUGAAAACCAUCCCACAGCAUUUUAAAGACAUUUAGAUGAUAUAUAAAUAUAUUUUUCAUAUUAAUUAAACUAUGCUAUGACAGUAAACCAUUUAAAAAUACUUAAACUGAUCCUUGAGGAAUACAAAGGUUUAUUCUUUAGAGAAACCACAUUUGUAUUUCCUAUUGUCUCUGGUAAAUAUUUAAGAUAACUAUUACUAUUUACCCAGAGAACCUUCUUUAAAUAACAGACUGAACCCCACAAAAUAUUUGUGUCUACUUAUGACAAUAUUUCCUUUCUGUAUAUUUAAAGAUUUCACAUUUUAUGGACAGAAUUUAGUUACAUAUCUUAAGUAUAUUUAUGUGACAACUCUUCAACAUGUGACGUCACACUUUAGGGUUCCUCCUCUCCCCUCCCCUUCUUUCCCCUCUCUUCCUCUCCUUUUUUGUCUUUCAAAGGAAAUAAACAUAGUGGUUCAGAGGAUGGAUUUUAGAGGCAAACUAACUUGAAUUUAGAUACUUACACUUUGCUAGCUACGUGACUUUAGGCAAGUCCUUUUGACUUUCUGAAUCUCUGCUUCUUCCCCAGAAAAAAAAAAUAGGGAUAAAAGCAAAAUUGUGUACCUUUUAGGUUUUAUAUAAAAGCAAUAAAAUAUUGCAUGAAGAGAAUUUAGAGCACAGCCAAGUUUAUAAAUACAUUUAAUAAACAUUAGCUAUCAUCAUAAUAAAUAUGGUCUAAAAUCAAAACAGGAGGAGAGAACUAAGAAAAAGAUCAUUUUAAUUGUAUCAAGAAUGAAUAGAAUUGUAAUGCUGGAUAACCUCUAAAAGUUUUUUCUAAAGUAGAUAUUUAUAUGAUUGCAUUCUGAAACAAAGUUCUAACCUCUCUUCUACAUUUUAACCUGUGGGUUCUCCAUCCUAGAACUCAUCACCACCCCAGUCCUCACAUUGGUUGGCAUUUCUCUUGCAUACUACCAAAUACAAUAGCUGAUACUUCAGACAGAAAAUGAGCUUACAGGCUAAAAUAAAGUUCAUAAAAUGGGGGAGGGAAAAAAGAGCACUGACACUGUAUUGAAACAGUGCUUUUAUCUGACUGUUGUAUUAUGGGUAAUUAUUGUUUUCAUUAUAAUUUUCUGGCAUUUUCUAAGUUUUUGGCCAAAAGCACAAUAGGGCUUCUUAAUUUGUAUUAUCAGAAUAAGUGAGGUAACAUCUUUUUAAAAUAAGAUUUAAUUUCAUCAUCUCAAGGAUUCAUAGAAUUCCAUAUUUGCAAGUAAGUUUUUAUCAAAGCUUUAUAAUCCCCUUUAAAAUUUAUUUUGUUUUGCAUGUUUGAAUAUCAUUUUUUAAAAGUCAAAUAGAUGUCAUGAUAUGUUCAGUAGUCCCCCAAACCACUCUCAGGUUCAAUGAUCUAUUAGAAGAACUCACAGAACUCAGGUUUAUUUCAGUGAAAGUGUACAGAUUAAACACAUAGAGUCCAGGAGAGAAGAGGCGCAUGCUUUCAGUUCUCCUCUCCCGGUGGAGUCACAGGGACAAUGCUUAAUUAAUUCAGUAAGUGUGUGACAAUAUGCAAAAAUAUUGACAACCAGGGAAGCUCAAUCUGAUAACUUGGAACUUUGGGGUCUAGAUUUAUUAUUGGUCAUUGCUCAAUAGACCAAUAAUAUAUACUUAUACUGAUACAUACUUACGUCAUUUGAAAAAGCCAUAUACCUAAUAUCAUUGGGGUGUCUAUGUGUGUGUGUGUGUGUGUAUACACACAUGCACUGGUGUAUAACUG